rnacentral:rRNA from 1 species
UCCUACGGGAGGCAGCAGUAGGGAAUCUUGCACAAUGAGGGAAACCUUGAUGCAGCGACGCCGCGUGCGGGACGAAGGCCCUAGGGUUGUAAACCGCUUUCAGUAGGGACGAAAGUGACGGUACCUACAGAAGAAGCCCCGGCCAACUAUGUGCCAGCAGCCGCGGUGAUACAUAGGGGGCAAGCGUUGUCCGGAUUUACUGGGCGUAAAGAGCUCGUAGGCGGUUUGCCAAGUCAGAAGUGAAAUCUCCAUGCUCAACAUGGAGCGGCCUUUUGAAACUGGUAUGACUUGAGUACGGUAGAGGAGUGUGGAAUUCCCGGUGUAGCGGUGAAAUGCGCAGAUAUCGGGAGGAACACCUAUGGCGAAGGCAGCACUCUGGGCCGAAACUGACGCUGAGGAGCGAAAGCGUGGGGAGCGAACAGGAUUAGAUACCCUGGUAGUCCACGCCGUAAACGUUGGACACUAGGUGUGGGAUGCGAUCAACGCAUUCCGUGCCGAAGUUAACGCAUUAA